rnacentral:rRNA from 1 species
GAUGAACGCUGGCGGCGUGCCUAAUACAUGCAAGUCGAGCGAACAGACGAGGAGCUUGCUCCUCUGACGUUAGCGGCGGACGGGUGAGUAACACGUGGAUAACAUACCUAUAAGACUGGGAUAACUUCGGGAAACAGGGGCUAAUACCGGAUAAUAUAUUGAACCGCGUGGUUCAAUAGUGAAAGACGGUUUUGCUGUCACUUAUAGAUGGAUCCGCGCCGCAUUAGCUAGUUGGUGAGGUAACGGCUUACCAAGGCAACGAUGCGUAGCCGACCUGAGAGGGUGAUCGGCCACACGGGAACUGAGACACGGUCCAGACUCCUACGGGAGGCAGCAGUAGGGAAUCUUCCGCAAUGGGCGAAAGCCUGACGGAGCAACGCCGCGUGAGUGAUGAAGGUCUUCGGAUCGUAAAACUCUGUUAUUAGGGAAGAACAAAUGUGUAAGUAACUAUGCACGUCUUGACGGUACCUAAUCAGAAAGCCACGGCUAACUACGUG